GGUUGUGGCAUCAUAAGGAUAUCUUUUCUGUAUUGAAGAACAAUAUUGGAACAAAAAAUGUUGAGAGCUUGAUUCUAAACUCGCCUCCACAUAAAGAAGACUUGAAUGCCAAUGCCUUCUCAGAGAUGACAAGACUAAGGUUAUUUAAAAUCCACGAUGUGCUUCUUCCUAAAGGCCUCACUUAUCUUUCUAAUGAGCUACAAUUGAUCGAAUGGCAUGAUUAUCCUUUGAAAUCCAUGCCAAGGAGUUUUCAACCAAAUAAUCUUGUUGAACUUAUUAUGCCUUGUAGCUGCAUUGAGCAACUACCAAAAGGAUUUAGGAACUUAAGCCAGCUAAAACUCAUUGACCUAAGUUACUCUCAAAGCUUAAUCAGUACUCCUGAUUUCAUUGGAUUUCAA